UCGGGCUCUUCUCUGAGAUACGUCACUCACCUCUGGACCCAUAGGUCAGGAGCAGCCAUAUAUGCUUUCAUGUGCAGUGACGUUCUGGCUCUUCUCCAUCAGACAAGUCAACGCCUGCUAUGAACACAGCAUAUUACAUAAUCCCCAUAAUCUCCAGUCUCUACAGUUUAACUUAUGCCGAAAACGGAAGGCAGGCCCAGGCUCUUCUCUGAGAUACGUCACUCACCUCUGGACCCAUAGGUCAGGAGUAGCAGUAGCGGCUUUCAUGUGAAGUGACGUAUUGGCUCUUCUCCAUCAGACAAGUCAGCGCCUGCUAUGAACACAGCAUGCUAUAUAAAUCCCCAUCAUCUCCAGUCUAUCCAAUCUCCAGGCUGGUCGAGGAGGGAUGGCUCAGGGGUUGGGGAGUGAUCGGCAUGGAUCACUCAGGGCGGAGCUGGGGGAGAUUGGGAGGAGCAUGAGGUCGUCUUUUAGGCUCCAGGCCCCAAGCUCUCGCCGGAGCUCGGGGGCCUUCUCGGCCAGGGACCAGGAUGAAGAGUAUGAACUGCAGUGGGCGGCCAUCGAGAGGCUGCCCACGUCAGACCGCCUAAGGUCAGCGCUGUUCUGGCGCCCAGAUGGUGAGGAAGGGGAGGGGGAGGUCAGGAGGAAGGAAGCAGUUGAUGUUACCAAGCUGGGGGCCUUGGAGAAGCGCCUGUUCAUUGAGAGUCUGAUUAAGGACAUCGAGGAUGAUAAUCUACGGCUGUUGCAGAAGCAGAAGGAGAGAAUAGAUAGGUAACAGUUUCUAUUUUUUUCUUCCAAUGUUAUAUCUGUAAAUGAAUGGAUGAGGAAACAUGCUGGGUUGAAACAAUACAUUAAAAUUCACAACUGAGGGAAGAACUUGGCGGGUCAAAGAUGAUAAGAACAGUAAGUAGAUGAUGAGGAUGAACGAGCAUGGGGCAGAAUAUGUCAGAAUUCAUUAUGAGAAAUCGGGAAUCAAAUUAAUUGUGCCUGAGAAAUAGAAGAGCAAUGGGUGAGAUUGUAGCUUUCCAUGAAUAGUUCUGCCCUAUUAAAGAGGCAUCUUCAGUGUCAAAUAUUAGAAAUACAGUGGAGAAAAAUAAGCAAACACAGUAUGAAAUCGGCCAUGAUUCAUCUAGAAAACUCCCUAUAUGGAUCAAUUCUGUGUGUGAAAUAGCAUACAAAUGAGUGUGCUCGCAGUUCUGCAUGAACCUUGUUGCCAAAUUGAAGAAGCAUUUCGUAGAACAAUGAAAGUAAGUAAAUUAGGUAAACAAAAGCAUGAGCAGGAUAAAUAUGCCGGAAUUCAAUUCAUUUAAGCAAAAUCUACAAUCAAGUUCAUCCUGUCUGGGAAAUAGCAGAGCGAGAAUUGCACUUGCAUUUUUUCUAGGAAUAUAGUUGCCCCAUCGAAGAAACAUGUUGCUGAUGAAUGACUGUAGAUUCAGUAGCUAAAAAUAUGCAUACAGAGUAUAAAACUAUCUCGGAGUUCAUUGGCAGAAAUCUGCAUCUCAAUCGGAAGAUUCAGUGUGUGCUUGUAUUUUCCGAUGAACACCGUUUCUCUUCAUGACAAAGUGCAGAGUCAAUGUGAAAUUGCCCACCAUUGAGGUCAGAUAUGAGAAUCUGACGGUAGAAGCAGAGUGUGAAGUGGUUCAAGGGAAGCCCCUGCCAACUUUGUGGAAUACCGCCAAGAGCUUCCUCUUGGUGAGUAGAACCCCUCCGUCUGAAGGUUUUUCUUUCCUUUCUUGCACUUUACUAUCAUUUCAGGUAAAUAUCUUUGGCCCUUCAUAUGAUUCUCCACAUGAAUGACAACUCCACAGUCCUCUAAUCUACAAUCAUCAUUAUAGGGAGUCUAAAAUAGUUUUGAAUGAAAAAAGGCAUUCGAUUCUUCAAAUUUCAUUUACUGUUGAGCUUUUGAUGCAACAGAACUUGACAAGGCUGCUCGGCAAAAAAAAUCGAGAAGAAAAGAUCACAAUUAUAAAAGAUGUCAGCGGUAUUAUCAAACCUUCCAGGUACACACACCAAGAACACAAUUCGAUUUCCUGAAUGCAGAGAACAGUUUUUUUCUUCAGGACGAUAACAAUUACUUGGCCACCAUAGUAUAUCUGGGUCUUCGAUAAUUCUCUCAAUGCAGCAUAUAAGUAAUCAUUCACCCAUUUUUGUAUUUAGCAUUCAAUGCGAUUGCCACAAUUUUUUUUGGCUGCAGGAUGACUUUAUUGCUCGGGCCUCCAGGAUGUGGCAAGACUACCUUCUUACUGGCGCUUGCAGGGAAACUGGACCAGUCUCUCAAGGUUUCAUUUCUUCUAGUUUCGACGAAAAUAAAUAACAUAAUACUCAUAAGGUUCAAAAAUAUCCAGCUUAUACCUCAUGACCUGGGAUGUCUACUUUUAUUUAUUAGAAAACAUCCUCACUCCUGGACUCCUGAACAGAAAGGCAUCUAGAGGGGUCAAUUCCUUGGAUAUCGAGCUAUAAAAUAGCAGAACUAGUUAUCACUAUCGCCAGGCCCUAAUGGAGAUCUAACUGGGCCGAACACACGUGGGAUUUUAGUUCAUAGACAUUCAAAUGCCUUAUUGUCGCUUCUUUUCGGAGCAUAGGGUCAUCUCGAGCCUACAAAAUGGAAGGAUGAUUUUAUAUCUUAUUUUCCCGACAUAAGACUUAAUUUCAUCUGGAAGAGAAGGGGGAAAUUAGCAUAAGACUUAAUUGCCUAAGUAGCACAAAUUCUAAACCCCUCACAAACACACUAACCUGAUAGUGGGCAUACUCCAGUAGACUUUGUAAAGUCUGCAUCAGUCUUUGUGGCUCGUCUGCAACGUUGAUGAACCUUC
rnacentral:lncRNA from 1 species